rnacentral:lncRNA from 1 species
CUUCUUUUCCUGUUCCCCAACAUAAACUGCAAAAUACCCUUUUGGUAGAUCCAUUGUUGACGUGCGAGUUCCAUUUGACAAAGACCUUUGGAGAAUUUGUUUUGCUUGAAUGAUCCGUGGGAUACGAAUAGCCAUAUUUCUGAAGGUUGAUGAAUGAAGUAAAACAAUGUGAGAGUAUUUUCUUUGUGAAAAGUUGUUUUGGUGGAAUUACAGAGGAAUGUGUGCUGGUGCUUUGCCUAUCACAUGCUUUAUAUAGUGGUUUGCUAAAGCUUCAAAUGUACAAUAACUGAUAAAAGGGCAAUUAAAUUACCAAUAGCGACAUUGUGAGAGAAAGACAAUAUCAUGUGUUCUGUUUCUCAACUUGCAAGAAGGUAUGAUCUUUCAUAUCACAACCAUAUAUUUAGAGAUAAUAUUAUGGCUUCAACUCGUACUUGUAAACCCAUAAGAAUCAAACAUUGUGGAUAACAUGUUUGGCCAGUAUUCUAUACAACGUACGCAAUGAACAACACUACAUUCAUCUUGGGCCCAUGUGAUAUUAAUGGUAGUGUGGCUCUGCUUCCUAAGAAACCCAAAAUUUUGGCUCAAAUAUAUGGAUUUUUCUUAUAACAUGUGGAGCCAAUGAUGUAUUAUCUGUAUGGAUAUAAUUCAUUGCAGCGAUUAGCAAGAAAUUCUAUAAGGUUGAUCACAUGUUUUUGUUUUUCAAAACUAGUUUUAUAAAAAGUAAAAUAAUAAACGAUUUGUUAGAUAAACACCAUGAGGGAUAUUGUUGUGGCUUUAAACAAUGGAAAGUCCCAGUCAAUAUGAUGUUUUCCUGUUUAAUUAAAAGGUGUAGUUAUUUAUUUCAAAAAUAUUUUUUAUAACAAUAAAAUAAUAAACCAUUUGUUUGAUAAGCAUCACGAGGGACAUUUGUCAGGGCAAAAAAGUUAUCCAACAUGUCGUGAAGUUUAAAUUCAUAAAUGAAUUACAAUUUUUUUUUCUUCCUUGUUACAGCUGGAAAGAUAAAGGCAUGUGAUGUUGCUUCCACUUCACCUUAUGUCACCAUCCCUCAUCUAAAUUUCCUUAUAUCAUCUGGAUUUAAAAACCAUUCAAGAUGAAUAACACAACCACAGACUGACAACUUUUCAACAAGAAGUCGCGUUUUGAUAAUUUUCAUUCGCUGUCUGCUUUUUUCUGUUAUGAGAUAAUACCCUCCUUGAAAAAUGGCAAUCCUAAUGCCCCGCAUCACUGAAGCAAAGAAAAUUUUUAGACGGUCAUUCUCAAAUGGAAGCAGCACAAAAAAUAUAUAUGGAUAUCCGAAAGCCUGUUUAGCGGUUUGUGUUGGUGAGCAAGAUAAGAAGCGAUUUGGGGUUCCUGUAUGGUUGUUAAGCCGACCUACUUCUCAAGAACUACUAGAUCAAGCUGAGGAUGAAUUUGGGUAUAUUCAUGCAAUGGGCGGCCUGACAAUUCCAUGCAGUGAAUACACAUUCGCGGAUCUAGCUUCUCGAGCAUUAUGACUUGUAUACAACAUUCUUUGUUAACCUUGAAUAGCUAGAAUAUUCCCAUUUUUGUAAAUAGAGACACCUAGAGUAUUUUUAUUAGUUGUAAUAGAGGAAAUUUUCCCCUUUUUGUAUGUAACUUUAACAUGGAACCAUUUAGAAGUCAGUGUAUUUUAUUAAUUCUUAGUCAACUACUCAUUUACCUUUUGAAGCUAUUCAUACAGAUCUAUGGACCUCCCCUAUGUUAAGCAGUAGUGGGGACCGCUACUAUAUUAUCUUUUUCGACGACAAAACAAUUAUUUAUGGACUUAUCCUCUAGCAAAGAAGUCUCAAGGUUUUUCAAUCUUCAUCCAAUUCUUUUCUAUGGUCAAAACACAAUUCCAUUACACAUUUAAAACCAUACAAUGUGACAACGAUCGUGAGUUUGAUAACCAACGAUUUCACAGCUUUUCCUCUCAAAAUGGCCUUCAAUUCCAAUUUUCUUCUCCACACACAUCCCCUCAAAAUGGAAAAUCGGAACGUAAAAUACGAUCCAUUAAUAAUAUCAUCCACACUCUUCUUGCCCACUCAAACGUACCCAUGAACUUUUGGCACCAUGCACUCCAACAUGCUACCUACCAGUUAAACAUUCUCCCUAGUAAGUUCCAAUCUCACCCCUACACAUCUUCUAUAUAAUCUUCAACCAUCAUAUUCACACCUUCGUACCUUCAGUUGUUUAUGUUACCCACUUACUCCAUCUCCCAUCAUCCACAAACUCCAAAAAUGCUCCGAACCUUGCAUUUUCUUAGGCCACCCGAUCAAUCAUUGAGGGUACAAAUGUUUUGACAUGCAAAAUAAAAACAUUAUUUUCCGCGCCAUGUCAUAUUAUAUGACAAUAACUUUCCCUAUCAUAAACUAUCAUCACCGACCCCUACAACCCAACUAUCAUCAAACCCACACCCAUUAAUGUGGUCUGAAUACUUGUUUCCCCACAUAGAGUUUCUGCUUAUCGAGUUUUGCCAAAGAGAUACUCCUAGUAUGUUGUACUUAGUUACAUACUUGAUGAUUUAAAUCUACUACACACUCAUUAUAAAAUUGAAUUUUGUUAUAAGAAACUAUGUGCAUCUCCCCUUUCCGAACCUAACUAUCUCUGGAGAACGAAUCUUUAAUGACUUGUUUCUUAGGGAUUGAGGCUUGUGCACAUAGUUUUUGUUAGUCAAGGAUAUCCUUCCUCAUAUUUAGGAAGUAUUGUUAUAGUUGAUAGACCUUAUCUUUAUUGUAAAUAGCAAUAGGAUGUUGUAUAAAUACAAAUUGUAAAUCAUGGGAAUGAGAUACGAGAACUAUACCAAUUAACGUGGUAUCAGAUACGAAAUUUCCUUAGCUCACAAAUAUCAUUAACCCUACUUUCACCUCUUGUUCUUAUCUCUACGCCAUUUUUUCUAUUCUUCUUCGCCCCGAUUUUCAGGGUUUUCAGGUUCCAAAUCACAUCGACUCUAAAAUCAUCCCUCCCUUAAAACAUGCUUCUUCUUCAACCUCCACUGAAGCGGACAAAAACAAAGCAUCAUCAGAGCUUGAAGCUUGGUCACGACUCGAUGCUAUUGUUCUCCAAUAGAUCUAUAACACAUUUUCGAAUGAUCUGUUAUACACAAUUCUGAGACCACAUACCACUGCGUGUCAGGCAUGGACUGCCCUCGAAAACAUUUUUCAAGAUAUCAGAGCACUCGAGCUAUCUAUGUUAAUAGAAAAUUUGUUUCUAUAAGACUUGACCACCACCCUAAAAUCUCCUCCUACUGCCAAGCCAUGAAGAUGCUAAUCGAUCAACUUGUAAAUGUUGCAAAACUCGAUGUCCGAUCAACAUCAUGUUCUUCAACUAAUUGUUGGUCUCAACGAAAGCCAUGAAGGAGUCGUGAUGAUCAUCAAGGGAACACCGCACUUACCUGAUUUCUACAAACUUUGGUCCAAAAUCAUCAUGGAAGAAGCUGGAAAAGCUCAUUAGGUUGUCGUCACUAUUGCAUCCCUAACCGGAGGCAUCUCCGCUACCGCCUUGGUAGAUCCAUUGUUGACGAGCGAGUUCCAUUUGACAAAGACCUUUGGAGAAUUUGUUUUGCUUGAAUGAUCUGUGGGAUACGAAUACCCAUAUUUCUGAAGGUUGAUGAAUGAAGUAAAACAAUGUGAGAGUAUUUUCUUUGUGAAAAGAUGUUUUGGUGGAAUUACACAGGAAUGUGUGCUGGUGCUUUGCCUAUCACAUGCUUUAUAAAAUGGUUUGUUAAAGGUUCAAAUGUACAAUAGUUGAAAAAAGGGCAAUUAAAGUACAGAUAGCGAUAUUAUUAUAUUGUGACAGAAAGACAAUAUCAUGUGCUCUGUUUCUCAACUUGCAAGAAGGCAUGAUCUUGCAUAUCACAACCAUAUAUUCAGAGAUAACAUUAUGAAUUAAACUUGUACUUGUAAACCUAAAAGAAUUAAAUAUAGAGGAUAACAUGUAUGGCCAGCACUCUAUACAUGGUAUACAGUGAAGAACACUACCAAUAACAUGGGUCCAUGUGAUAUUAAUGGUACUGUGUCUCUGCUUCCUACGAAACCCAAAAUUAUGCCUAAAAUCUUUGGAUUUUUCUUAUAACAUCUGUAGCCAAUGAUGUAUUAUCU